rnacentral:rRNA from 1 species
CUGUCACGAGUCGGCAGCACCCUCUCAGUCGCUCGGCGUACCCGGGUUGCCGGUCUGGUGGUGUCGGGUGCGUAACGCGUGGGAAUCUGCCCUUGGGUUCGGAAUAACGUCGGGAAACUGACGCUAAUACCGGAUGAUGACGUAAGUCCAAAGAUUUAUCGCCCAGGGAUGAGCCCGCGUAGGAUUAGCUAGUUGGUGGGGUAAAGGCCUACCAAGGCGACGAUCCUUAGCUGGUCUGAGAGGAUGAUCAGCCACACUGGGACUGAGACACGGCCCAGACUCCUACGGGAGGCAGCAGUAGGGAAUAUUGGACAAUGGGCGAAAGCCUGAUCCAGCAAUGCCGCGUGAGUGAUGAAGGCCUUAGGGUUGUAAAGCUCUUUUACCAGAGAUGAUAAUGACAGUAUCUGGGGAAUAAGCCCCGGCUAACUCCGUGCCAGCAGCCGCGGUAAUACGGAGGGGGCUAGCGUUGUUCGGAAUUACUGGGCGUAAAGCGCACGUAGGCGGCGAUUUAAGUCAGAGGUGAAAGCCCGGGGCUCAACCCCGGAACUGCCUUUGAGACUGGAUUGCUUGAAUCCGGGAGAGGUGAGUGGAAUUCCGAGUGUAGAGGUGAAAUUCGUAGAUAUUCGGAAGAACACCAGUGGCGAAGGCGGCUCACUGGACCGGCAUUGACGCUGAGGUGCGAAAGCGUGGGGAGCAACA